AUACGCAGGCAACGCGAGCGGCAGCGUCAAAUUCAAGUGGAGGGACACUCUUUGUAAUGAUUCUGUCUUAGUAACUUCCGCCAUGGCCAUGAAUUCUCUCCUCAAAAUCCGCAGGGCUAUUGGCUCCUUCCCUCUGCAACGAUUCUCAACUGCACUUACAUAUGCCUCGAACGAGAGGACACCAGAAGCUUCACCACUGGAGAAUCCUACCUUCAUUCACUCCUCAGCAGUCGUUCACCCAAAUGCCUUCAUUGGCCAGGGUGUUUCGAUUGGUCCCUUCUGCACCGUUGGAUCAUCUGCCAAGCUUGGAAAUGGUUGUCAAUUGUAUCCUGGAAGCCAUAUUUUUGGAAAUACAGAGUUAGGGGAGCGCUGUGUUUUGAUGACUGGCGCUGUGGUUGGUGAUGAACUUCCAGGACACACGGUUUUAGGACAUAAUAACAUAAUUGGUCAUCAUGCUGUGGUUGGUGUUAAAUGCCAAGAUAUGAAAUACAAGCCAGGGGAUGAAUGUUUUCUUCACAUUGGGGACAACAAUGAAAUCAGAGAGCAUGCUUCAAUUCACCAAUCUUCAAAGUCAAGCGAUAGAACGAUUAUAGGAAAUAAUAACCUUAUCAUGGGGUCUUGUCAUAUUGCCCAUGACUGCAACAUCGGCAACAAUAACAUAUUUGCUAAUGAUACUCUUCUAGCUGGUCAUGUUAUUGUGGAAGACUAUACUCACACUGCUGGUGCUAUUGUUGUUCAUCAAUUUUGCCACAUUGGUUCAUUUUCUUUCAUUGGUGGUGGAUCUGUGGUUUCACAAGAUGUACCUAAGUAUGCAAUGGUGGCCGGAGAAAGAGCUGAGCUUCGUGGUCUGAAUUUGGAAGGUCUUCGGCGACAUGGAUUCACAGCCACAGAGAUUAGGAGUCUGAGAAUGGCUUAUAGAAAGAUAUUCAUGUCUAUCAAUGCUAAUUCUGUGGGUUUCAAAGAACGCCUUGCUGAACUGGAGCAGGAUAAAGAAUUGGGUAAGAUUCCUGUUGUAUGUUCAAUGGUGCAGUCUCUUCGUGAUUCUUUUGCAGAAAAUCGACGUGGAAUAUGCAAAUUCAGACAUUGGAAUGACUCUUGAAAACAUUCUGUUAUCUGCUGUUGUUUUUGUUGUAUUUUCAAGCUGGUGUAGGUGUAGACUGGAUCUCAUUGUGAGAGGCUUUCCAAGUGGCUUUAGGUGGAGGUCAUUAUUGAAACUUGAGACGCUCAACAAUUAAGAAAGUAGAAAUGGAUUGUUUUCAUUUAAAUUUUGUGCCAUGGAGGAGGCAGAUGUAGAACAUUUGUGUGAGAUGAAGCUUUGUAUGUUUUGUUCAACGCAAACGUGUUUAGUAGCUGAUUACAUCAGCUGGAAAAAUGGAGAUAGCGGACCUCAUGAAUCGUUCAUAAUUGUUCAUAGCAGCAUCUGCACAAGCCCAAAGUCACCAAGUUCUGCCAUUUUUAGAUUGGAAGGAUUGACACCUUUGUUUUCUUCUUUCUUUCCUGUUUAGGCUUUUGGAGUAGGUGAAAAUUUAAUGGAUCAUCAUUUACAACACUAUUCUAUUUUGGCCGUCUGUGGAUGAAUUGCAUUAGCAUAUACGUUAUGAAGGUACAAUUAAAUUGAGCAGGAUCAAGCAAAUGCUUAUACAACCCAUGUAAAGAAGAAUUAAGGAACAGCACU